ensembl:snRNA U6 U6 spliceosomal RNA
AAGCUCGCCUUGGCAGCACGUUUACUCAAAUUGGAAUGAUACAGAGAAGAUUAGUAUGGCCCCUGCACAAGGAUGACACACAAAUUUGUGAAGUGCUCCAUAUUUAA